rnacentral:rRNA from 1 species
UACGUAGGUGGCAAGCGUUAAUCGGAAUUACUGGGCGUAAAGCGCACGCAGGUGGCUGAGUCAGUCGAUUGUGAAAGCCCUGGGCUUAACCUGGGAAUUGCAGUCGAUACUACUCAGCUAGAGUAUGGGAGAGGGUAGUGGAAUUCCAGGUGUAGCGGUGAAAUGCGUAGAUAUCUGGAGGAACACCGGUGGCGAAGGCGGCAUCCUGGACCGGCAUUGACGCUGAGGAGCGAAAGCCAGGGGAGCAAACGGG